UUUUGUUUGACUCUUUAGGGGGGGGUGUUACGUACAGUGCUCUAUGGGUAUAGGUCUACAGAUAUGGUGUUGUUGGUUUGUGUUUUUGUCUCCCCCUUCUGUUUCCAUUCUCUCACUUCACAGAUAUGCACACCUGGUUCCCCUCAUCCAAUCACCACACCUGUUCCAAUCAACCAUUCCCCUUUAUAUAGUCAAUGUUUGUUUUCAGUGGGGGAGGCUCUUUUGUGUUGAGCUGGAGCACUGUCUUGUGUUAAAAUUGAAUUAGUAACAAUCUACUGGUGUUUUUGUGAUAUCUUUUGGUUGUACGCACAGGGUCAAUGAGGACAGGUAAUAUACUCCGGGGUUUACAUAUUGCAUACACGUAGGUGUACCUGUUGUUGGUACCCUGGGCUAGAGUGAGCGCCACCCACUGUAUUUUUGGGUGCAAGGCACCGGUCAAUGGGAGUGGGGGGGUGUUUUCUUUGGUGCCACUGACAGUCCUUGUUUUUUUUUUUGUCUUUGCCUUACUCCCAUUCGAUUGCGAUGAACUACUUUAACAUGUGAUGUAUCAUGCUGUUCAAAGGAUAUGGACCAAAACCUAAAAGAUGGCAAGCUUCUGUCCAACAGAGUCUAUCUCCACCACAACAAGGGGUUUUAUCCUGGGCUUAAGAUGAAGUACGCCACCAACAACACAUUGUUGGAUGAAAUUCGGGUAUGCCAAAGACAUUCACAUGUUACCACAUAACAAACAUCAAAAUUUGUUAUUUUUUCACAAUAUGUUUUAUCAACUCUUACAUAGUAAAUAACUAGUAUUUUUAUGUUACAUGUCAAUAGUAAAUUUAUAAAAUGCAAUUAAAAUAAUAUCCAAAGACAAAAUUGCAACCACGGCUUCUACAAAAAGGUCUGUAUUUUUGUGUAAUAAUAAUAAUAACAAACUUAUGUUAAACGUGUUAGACUACAGAGAUGAUAGAGAUUGGAGACCAUCCUGCCUGCAUCAGGAACAGAAGUUGAGCAGAAGAUGUACCUGGAAGAAGUAAUUCUGCCAGAGGUCGCCAACCAUUCCAGAGAAGGAUGUGGGAGACUGAGGAGAUCGUCGCUGUAGAGAAGCACAUGAUGUGCUUCAUCACUUAAUGUCGUGUUUCUGCAAAAACUGACUGAUAAGUGCCUUGAAAUUGAAAUUAAAAAACGAAAUUGGUCAGCCCUAAAAUGUUACAUCAAGAAUCGAAUUACAGCUCUCAAGAGAAAAGUUUAAAGUCAGCAUGGCUGUUGACACGUGUUUUCUGUGUCACAUGUUUAAAAUGAUAUCCUUUAGGUAAUGUUUAGUGUUGACUACCCCAUGUCAUUUACUUACUGUUCAAGUUAGUGGCCUUUCGUUGAUAGCAAACUGCUGCUGUUCGUUGAUGGUAUGAUAACAUCAUAUCCUUCUGUACUUUGUUAGUGAAACAAAUACUAAGUUUAUUAGGUCUCUGUAUCUUGUUUCAUCUCCUCACCUAAUCUGUAACUUAACCUUUUGUCAUCUUCCCUUCCUAGCUUUCCACAUUUAAUGUAACAUGUUCAAUAUCUCCUAAUUUCUCAUUUUAUCUCAGCUCAUCUAGCUCCUUGUUGCCAUCUUUCAUACUAUCACCACUCAUCUCCCCUUCUUAUUUGUUUUCUAUUGUCUGUCACUUCAUUACCUUUAAUUUCCCAUCACCUCAUCUAACCUCAUUUUACGGUAGUAAAAUUAUCUCAUGUAAUCUAAUUUCACCUGUUCUCCACUCUUAAUUCAUAAUUACUCAUUUGAGUCAUCUCAGUUGAUAUUUUUAUAUUGUCAAUUUCCUAUUCCUCUGAUUUAAUUUUGUCAUAAUCUUUACUCCGUAUUUGUUGACAUUUGAAAAAGUAUUCAAUAAAAGUUUGAAUGCAAAAUGUAUUCCGCUGCCUACAUCUCUCUGUGGGAGCAGUAAUGCUGACAUUAUGAUCAUCUUAAUAACAUCUUUCAGUGUAUUUAAUACUUGUUUCUUUUUAUCUGGCAGCAAAUGGUAACCCUAUUGUUUGUCAUACGUGACCUAAAAUCUUUAAUAAUAGGAUUUUAUUGCUCGAGAUGCAAUAGUGUAACACAUAUUGCCACUCGAGAUGGAUUUGCUGCAUUAUAGUUCUACAGCAAUUACCUUGACAAUCAAAAUUGUUAGCGGUUCCCUCAAAAUAAGUUUAACCUGACUGUGUGUAAAUUGGUUCUCAGAAAUGAAGAAAAACUGGAAAGUGUGUAUAUAUUGACCUCAUAAAUAUCUAAAUACCCCACAAGACCCCUGAAGUGAGAGCCUACUCAGGUCGGGGGACUAAACUUCGUCUGAUUGAUAAUUUAAAGUGAUAUCGCUGUUAAGGUCCACUCAAAAAUAAUGCCUGAUUUUUUACAGUGCUGUACAACCUUCAGACAGGGUGGGUUCCAGAAGUGGUGUUCUUGUCAGGAGGUCUUAUAAUACAAUAAAGACAAGUGUGUGUGUGCGUGUGUGCGCACGCGCAGUUGCCUCACAUGGUGUAUAGCAGAUGUGCCCAACAAGUCGCGGGCUGAGUAGCAGUCGAUCACGAGAAAUUUUGUGACACUCAUGUGUUGUGUAUAGACUACUCCUACUGUUG
ensembl:lncRNA